rnacentral:lncRNA from 1 species
GCUUAGUAUUUAUCAAACUGUAAGCGUUUUUAGUUUUCUUUUAUCUUCAAAAUUGUAGAUUUUGGGGUUUUCGCCCUUUUGCGGGGACGGAAGGGGGCGUGGCUCACUUUUUAAAUACUCUGCUUUCAGUGUGAGCAUAUAGAAGUCUGGAAGCAAUAUUUGGUGGCUCUAGCUCUUAUAGUCUCUGAGAACUAGCCGACAAACAAGAUAAACAGACGGACGGACGGACAGACAGACAUGGCUCUUUCGACUCGUCUAUUGAUGCUGAUCAAGAAUAUAUAUACUUUAUGGGGUCGGAAGCGUUUCCUUCUGUGCUUUACAUACAACCUAUAUUCCCCACAAAUACAAUAUACCCUAUUUACUCUUCGAGUACCGGGUAUACAAAAAUAAAGUUCAGCCAUGGAAAAAAAACGAGAAGGGACGUGUGAAACGCUUCUUACGAGUCAUAACUUCAAUACCCGGCACUCAGUACUACGUCUGUACCUUAGCAGUUUUUGUUCAAAUUUUAAUUUUUUUCUUCAUCUGUCAUCUACAUCUACAACACUUCUCACGCCAACACGCUCCUUAAGCUCGCCCCUCUUCCCAAGAGCCACACACUGCAGAGUCAUGGCAGAGGCACAGACUCGGCAGAGGCAAAGGCUGAACUAUGCAGAAGCAUAGUGUGAAUGAGAGAAUACAAAAAAAAACCAAUAUAAGCUUCGGAACGGGUUGGGUUUAGCCACGGCAGAGGCAGAGGCAAAGAAACGGCAGAGGCAGAGGCCGCACCCUGCACAAAGCAGAGUGUGAAUGAGAGAAUGUGAAAAAAAACAAAUAUAAGCUGCCGGACGGGGUGGGUUUAGCCACUGCAAAUUAAUUUCUACAUUCUGGCUAUUAUAAUGGUACAAUCGGAUUCCAAUUUGGUGAUCUGAUAGAAAGGGUCCUUCCCUACGGAAUGGCGUUUUGUUUUAUCUUCAAAAUUUUAGGUUUGGGAGGUUUUCGCCCUUUUACGGGGGCGGAAGUAGUCGGGGCUCAUUUUUUAUAUACUCUUGUAACAGUGUGAGCAUACAGAAGUCUGGAUGCAAAAUUUGGUGGCUCUAGCUUUUAUGGUCUCUGAGAUCCAUGCGCUCAACAAGACGGACGGACAGACAGGCACACAGACAUAGGCUAGGCUUGAUGCUGAUCAAGAAUAUAUAUACUUUAUGGGCUCGGGUUCCGGCUGUGCGUUACAUACAACCGUUAUUCCCCACAAACACAAUAUACCCUAUUUACUCUUCAAGUACCGGGUAUAACAAAUUAUUAUCAAACCCUUUCUAAGCCCCAUAUGUUUUAUAAAAAGUUGGUCUGGAUCGAAGCGACAAAAUCGUGUCGAGUAGUGUUAUCACAAAAAAAAAUAAAAUGUAUCCUCCUGCGAGAAUAUCUCCCCGCCCAGUGCACGACGACUGUGUCUUGGCCAACAUUAAUGGUAAUUAAUGCAGUUGAUUACACACACACACCAGCGAAUAUAUGAUGAUUCCUACACACAGAACACACACAUCUAUAGAAUAAUUAAUCAACACUUUUGCAUUUACAUUGAUCCGAACUAGAGCCAUAAGUUGUUAAUAAUAGUUUAAAAAACACUAUUUUUAAGGAACAAAAAAAACAAAACGAAUACUAGUUAAAACUAGUUGCAUAUAAUGUACAAUUUAUGUAGUCAAGGCCAAUAAGUACAUUAAUACUAGUAUAUACAUAAUAUAUGUAUAUGAAUUGAGGCAAACAUAUAUCUAUUGCGAUACAUAUGGGCAAUUAUUGGAUAGCGAUUAAUAAUUGUUUUUUAAAACCUACCGUAGAGAACAUUGCACAGAACUAACAGCAGAACUAGAACAACAAGUUUUUGCCUACUUUUUGCGGGCCGGCAAUUUUUAACAAACACAAAAACUCAACGAUUCAGACAUCAUACAUACAUACAUAUAUAUAUAUAUAUAUAUAAGUACAUAUCAUUUUUGGGCAAAGGAUAAACAAAAGAGUAAGGAUAUAUUAAAAUUGAAUAGUUAUCAAAAAAAUAGUGAAAUGCAUAAUCGUGUCGCACACAGAAACAGACACCACGAGACACACCACUAACUCCCAAACAAUUCAAAGCGAUGCGAAAUAAAAAACAAGAUAAACGAGAAGGGACGUGUGAGACGCAUCUUACGCGUCACAACUUUUUUACCCGGUACUCAGUACUACCUUAGCGGUUUUUGUACCCUAGCGGUUUUUUUCAAAUUUUAAAUAUUUUCUUCAUCUCACACUCUUUAGCUUUUGAAACAAACUUGAUUCAGUGUGAUAUUACACAAGUUUUCACACAAACUUUGGUGACUCCAGCUCUUAUAGUCUCUGAAAACAAGGCGUCAAACAAGACGGACGGACAGACAGACGGACAUAUAGUCAGACAGUCAGAUAUAGACUCGGCUAUUGAUGCUGAUUGAGAAUAUAUAUAUAUAUACUUUGUGGGGUCGGAAAGGUUUCCUUCUGUCCGUUACAUACAUCCAUACAUACACAUACAAUUCCAUUUUCUUCACCACAAAAACAUACCCUAUUCACUCUUCGAGUACCGGGUAUAAAGAGUAAAACAGAGAGAAGACAACCCAAAGGUAGAGGUUUAUUAUGGAGGGUUUUACCGACGUUUUUAUGCGUUUCAUUUUUUACGUAGCAUUUAUUUCGAGCGUGUAUUCCCCUCGUUUUUUUCACUUUGGUUACCCAAUGACAAUCGUGAUACUAAUUGUAGUUGUUUACACGACGAUGAUGCAAAAUGCACAAGUAUAAUAAUAAUAAUAAUAUUAAUGAUAUUAAAUAAAUACAUUAUUGAGUGGUAAUUAAAAUACGGCCAGAAAACACAGACACCGAGAGGCACAGACCCACACACAAAAAGCUGCUGGUAAUGAAUUAUUUUUUUAAGCUGAAAUUUCUUUCAAAAAAUUAAAACAAUAAAAGACAUUAGUUUCUAUAAAAAAAUAUUGUACAUACAUACAUAAUACAUACGGGUACCAUAUAGCAAAUGGAAUGGAAUUUUCAUUAUGUUUAUUC